AUUGAACGCUGGCGGCAGGCCUAACACAUGCAAGUCGAACGAGUGGCGGACGGGUGAGUAAUGUCUGGGAAACUGCCUGAUGGAGGGGGAUAACUACUGGAAACGGUAGCUAAUACCGCAUACCAUCAGAUGUGCCCAGUGGGGAUUAGCUUGUUGGGGGGGUAACGGCUCACCAAGGCGACGAUCCCUAGCUGGUCUGAGAGUCUGACCUGCAAAACUGGAACUGAGCCACGGUCCAGACUCCUACGGGAGCCAGCAGGGGGGAAUAUCGCCCAAUGGGCGCAAGCCUGCUGCAGCCAUGCCGCGUGUAUGAAGAAGGCUUUCGGGUUUUAAAGUACUUUCAGCGGGGAGGCGUUACCCGAAGAAGAAGCACCGGCUAACUCCGUGCCAGCAGCCGCGGUAAUUC
rnacentral:rRNA from 1 species